GGACCCGACUGCUAUUUGGGUGAGAAUAAGCCAUGCGAGUUGAAUGGGAUACCUAAAGUUCCCAUAGCAAACUGCUCAGUAACACAUGAUCAACUUACCCUAUAGAGAAAAAUAACCUCGGGAAACUGAGGAUAAUAUUUCAUAAUUGAAUUGGCUUGGAAAAGUUUUUCAAUGAAAAGGAUAAAAAAAAUGGUUUUUAUCUGCUAUAGGAUAGGAUCGUGUUCGAUUAUGGUUGUUGGUGAGGUAAUGGCUCACCAAGCCGAUAAUCGAUAGGGGCCGUGAGAGCGGGAGCCCCGAGAUGGGUACUGAGACAACGACCCAGGCCUUACGAGGCGCAGCAGGCGCGGAACCUCCGCAAUACACGAAAGUGUGACGGGGUUACCCAAAGUGUUCAAUUUGAACUGUGGUAGGUGAGUAAUGUCCCCUACUAGAAAGGAGAGGGCAAGGCUGGUGCCAGCCGCCGCGGUAAAACCAGCUCUUCAAGUGGUCGGGAUAAUUAUUGGGCUUAAAGUGUCCGUAGCCGGUUUAGUAAGUUCCUGGUAAAAUCGGGUAGCUUAACUAUCUGCAUGCUAGGAAUACUGCUAUACUAGAGGGCGGGAGAGGUCUGAGGUACUACAGGGGUAGGGGUGAAAUCUUAUAAUCCUUGUAGGACCACCAGUGGCGAAGGCGUCAGACUGGAACGCGCCUGACGGUGAGGGACGAAAGCCAGGGGAGCGAACCGGAUUAGAUACCCGGGUAGUCCUGGCCGUAAACGAUGCAUACUAGGUGAUGGUACGGCCAUGAGCCGUAUCAGUGCCGUAGGGAAACCGUUAAGUGUGCCGCCUGGGAAGUACGGUCGCAAGGCUAAAACUUAA
rnacentral:rRNA from 1 species